rnacentral:rRNA from 2 species
CUCCGCACACAUUUCGCUGCUCUGGACGAUGGCUAAUACCUCGUAUUGCUGAGAAGUGAAAGAUGAAAGUCGCCAAGAGAUGGGCUUGCGGCUGAUUAGCUAGUUGGUGGGGUAAAAGCUUACCAAGGCGAUGAUCAGUAGCUGGUCUGAGAGGAUGAUCAGCCACACUGGGACUGAGACACGGCCCAGACUCCUACGGGAGGCAGCAGUGAGGAAUUUUCCGCAAUGGGCGAAAGCCUGACGGAGCAAUGCCGCGUGAAGGAUGACGGCCUAUGGGUUGUAAACUUCUUUUCUCAGAGAAGAAUUUUUGACGGUAUCUGAGGAAUAAGCAUCGGCUAACUCUGUGCCAGCAGCCGCGGUAAGACAGAGGAUGCAAGCGUUAUCCGGAAUGAUUGGGCGUAAAGCGUCUGUAGGUGGCUUAAAAAGUCUCCUGUCAAAGAUCAGGGCUUAACCCUGGGCCGGCAGGAGAAACUCUUAGGCUAGAGUUUGGUAGGGGCAGAGGGAAUUCCCGGUGGAGCGGUGAAAUGCGUAGAGAUCGGGAGGAACACCAAAGGCGAAAGGCACUCUGCUGGGCCAGAACUGACACUGAGAGACGAAAGCGAGGGGGAGCAAAAGGGGAUUAGAUACCCCUUGUAGUUCAGAA